UGGGGAAUUUUGGACAAUGGGCGCAAGCCUGAUCCAGCAAUGCCGCGUGCAGGAUGAAGGCCUUCGGGUUGUAAACUGCUUUUGUACGGAACGAAAAGACUCCUUCUAAUAAAGGGGGUCCAUGACGGUACCGUAAGAAUAAGCACCGGCUAACUACGUGCCAGCAGCCGCGGUAAUACGUAGGGUGCGAGCGUUAAUCGGAAUUACUGGGCGUAAAACGUGCGCAGGCGGUUUUGUAAGACAGAGGUGAAAUCCCCGGGCUCAACCUGGGAAUUGCCUUUGUGACUGCAAGGCUUGAGUGCGGCAGAGGGGGAUGGAAUUCCGCGUGUAGCAGUGAAAUGCGUAGAUAUGCGGAGGAACACCGAUGGCGAAGGCAGCCUCCUGGGCCAGUACUGACGCUCAUGCACGAAAGCGUGGGGAGCAAACA
rnacentral:rRNA from 1 species